rnacentral:rRNA from 1 species
UUACGGGAGGCAGCAGUGGGGAAUUUUGGACAAUGGGGGCAACCCUGAUCCAGCCAUGCCGCGUGCGGGAAGAAGGCCUUCGGGUUGUAAACCGCUUUUAGCCGGGACGAAAGCCUCGCGGAUAACACCCGCGGGGGUUGACGGUACCGGCGGAAUAAGCACCGGCUAACUACGUGCCAGCAGCCGCGGUAAUACGUAGGGUGCGAGCGUUAAUCGGAAUUACUGGGCGUAAAGCGUGCGCAGGCGGUUCGUUGUGUCGGUGGUGAAAGCCCCGGGCUUAACCUGGGAAUGGCCGUCGAAACUGGCGAACUGGAGUGUGGCAGAGGGGGGUGGAAUUCCGCGUGUAGCAGUGAAAUGCGUAGAGAUGCGGAGGAACACCGAUGGCGAAGGCAGCCCCCUGGGCUGACACUGACGCUCAGGCACGAAAGCGUGGGGAGCAAACAGGAUUAGAUACCCCGGUAGG